AAAUAAUAGAAAAUUCAUUGCUAUGAUUAUGGUAUAUAAAAAAUAUUGUAAUUUUGGUGUGCAUUUUUUCUAUAAAUGACAUUGUAAUCUAUUAACAUAAUAUUAAUAUAUUUAUCAUAAGAUCAAUUGCAAAAGUUUAUUUACAUUAUUUUGAUUUUCAAUUUAACAUAGAAUAAAUGCUUUUGAUUUGAUAAAGUGUUGAUAGAUUUUAUAAUAUAUAGUGCUAAAAUAUAAUUUAUAUUUUAUAAUGGUGUAAAUAUCAAUGAUUUUUACGUUUAUUAUAUGCACUUAUAU
rnacentral:rRNA from 4 species